GAUGAACGCUGGCGGCGUGCCUAAUACAUGCAAGUCGAGCGAACGGACGAGAAGCUUGCUUUUCUGAUGUUAGCGGCGGACGGGUGAGUAACACGUGGAUAACCUACCUAUAAGACUGGGAUAACUUCGGGAAACCGGAGCUAAUACCGGAUAAUAUUUUGAACCGCAUGGUUCAAAAGUGAAAGACGGUCUUGCUGUCACUUAUAGAUGGAUCCGCGCUGCAUUAGCUAGUUGGUAAGGUAACGGCUUACCAAGGCAACGAUGCAUAGCCGACCUGAGAGGGUGAGCGCCCACAGUGGAACUGAGCCACGGUCCAGACUCCGACGGGGGGCCGCAGGGGGGAAUCUUCCGCAAUGGGCGAAAGCCGGAGGGAGCAGCGCCGCGUGAGUGAUGAAGGUCUUCGUAUCGUAAAACUCUGUUAUUGGGGAAGAAAAUAUGUGAAAGAAACUGUGCACUUCUUGACGGUACCUAAUAAAAAAGCCCCGGCUAACUACGUG
rnacentral:rRNA from 1 species